rnacentral:rRNA from 1 species
AUUGAACGCUGGCGGCAGGCCUAACACAUGCAAGUCGAGCGGAUGAAGGGAGCCUGCUCCUGGAUUCAGCGGCGGACGGGUGAGGAAUGCCUAGGAAUCUGCCUGGUAGUGGGGGAUAACGUCCGGAAACGGGCGCUAAUACCGCAUACGUCCUGAGGGAGAAAGUGGGGGAUCUUCGGACCUCACGCUAUCAGAUGAGCCUAGGUCGGAUUAGCUAGUUGGUGGGGUAAAGGCCUACCAAGGCGACGAUCCGUAACUGGUCUGAGAGGAUGAUCAGUCACACUGGAAGUGAGAAACGGCCCAGACUCCUACGGGAGGAAGCAGUGGGGAAUAUUGGACGAUGGGCGAAAGCCUGAUCCAGCAAUGCCGCGUGUGUGAAGAAGGUCUUCGGAUUGUAAAGCACUUUAAGUUGGGGGGAAGGGCAGUAAGUUAAUACCUUGCUGUUUUGACGUUACCAACAGAAUAAGCACCGGCUAACUUCGUG